AUAAAGGUUGUGAUAGAAUUAAGUAGUUUAACCUCUUGUCUUCAAGGGAGAAAAUACUAUUAACUGAGAGUAUUUUUAAGACAAUGUUAAGCGAAUUCAUUCUGGAGCUAUUUAACUGAAUUAAGUAAGUUAAAUCGGUUUUCUACCGUUAUCAAGAAUCAAGCGAGCUUUAGUUAGCUAACUAAGGUGGUACCGCGGAAGUAAUCCACUAUCUUUCGUCCUUAAU
rnacentral:ncRNA from 1 species